GACGAACGCUGGCGGCGUGCUUAACACAUGCAAGUCGAACGGUGAACGAGGGAGCUUGCUCCCUCCGGAUCAGUGGCGAGCGGGUGAGUAACACGUGAGCAAUCUGCCCCGAACUCUGGGAUAAGCGUUGGAAACGACGUCUAAUACCGGAUACGACGCGGGAGGGCAUCCUCUCCGCGUGGAAAGAACUUCGGUUCGGGAUGAGCUCGCGGCCUAUCAGCUUGUUGGUGAGGUAACGGCUCACCAAGGCGACGACGGGUAGCCGGCCUGAGAGGGUGACCGGCCACACUGGGACUGAGACACGGCCCAGACUCCUACGGGAGGCAGCAGUGGGGAAUAUUGCACAAUGGGCGCAAGCCUGAUGCAGCAACGCCGCGUGAGGGAAGACGGCCUUCGGGUUGUAAACCUCUUUUAGCAGGGAAGAAGCGAAAGUGACGGUACCUGCAGAAAAAGCACCGGCUAACUACGUG
rnacentral:rRNA from 1 species